GCCUGGGUGGCUGAGUUGGUUAAGCGUCCAACUUCGGCUCAGGUUGUGAGCUCGUGGUUUGUGGGUUCGAGCCCCACGUCGGGCU
rnacentral:tRNA from 1 species